UACGUAGGUGGCGAGCGUUGUCCGGAUUUACUGGGCGUAAAGAGCGCGCAGGCGGUCGGCCAAGUCGAGUGUGAAAGCCCCCGGCUCAACUGGGGAGGGUCACUUGAUACUGGUCGACUCGAAGGCGGGAGAGGGAAGUGGAAUUCCCGGUGUAGUGGUGAAAUGCGUAGAUAUCGGGAGGAACACCAGUGGCGAAGGCGGCUUCCUGGCCCGUUCUUGACGCUGAGGCGCGAAAGCUAGGGGAGCAAACGGG
rnacentral:rRNA from 1 species